AAGUGCUUCAAAUCACUGCUCCUGGAACACAUGCCCAGCUUGAGUGGAAAUGGGACAUGUGCUUUUGGGAUGUGCUGAGACUUCUGUAGGCCACUCCAGUGACCAGAUUGGACCACUUCAGAUACAAUGGCAACCAGGAACGUUACUCUCACAAUACUGAAGAAUGCAAAUGCAUUAUCUCAUGACCUCCAAGGAUAUGGACUCCAGACACUGCAGUGUGACAGCUAAACCAAGGAGCAUCGGAUGCGAUGGAAUUGCUCUACAAGCAACCUUGCCAAAGGCCCUUUUGCUGCACAAAGCUGGCUCUAUCUUUGUAUAUUGAGGGAGCUAAAUCAAUGUUAAAUGCUUGGCUCUUUUCACAGGACAAUGACCAGGACCUAAGCUUCGUCCUUCCUUUUUGAUUGACACUUGAAACGUUGAGUUGGAAUCAGCCAGAGGCACUGCUACAAGCUUGAAGCCUCUGCUGGGGAUAACAACUGGUGACAUCUGCAGAAAGGCCGACAAAAGGCAGUUGAAAGCCGUGUUUGUUGCUUUCCCCUCUCAGAUCUCCUCUCUUUCAUGGAGCUCCUUACUUGCUUUAAUAUUAUGAUUCAGCACCUGGCUCUUUUGAACCUUGCUUUAAACUUCAAAAGGCGAGGUGGUAUUAACAAACAUGAAACGAAAAAGUGGCAGUAGUUUGAUUUACUGUUGUCGUCUUAUCAAGGGGGUUUUUUGUCACCAGCUGCCACUUUCUGUCAUCUUUGGAACCAUUAUCAUUUCUCUAAAAUCUAAAAGACUCCACUUAAUAACAGCUUUGAAUACAGGCAGGAUCAGUAACCUAUACAGUUCUGGGAUGACAGAACCAUCAAAUGAAAAGCAAGAUGUUGCCAAAAAAAAAAAAAAAAAAAAUCCUUUUAAAAAAUAAAAAAAAACCCAAACAAAAAAACCAACCCAAAACCCAACAAUAAAACAAAUAAAAGCUGUAGUACUUCUAAGUGACCUUGAUUUCAGAAUUAAACAAAUCAAGCGCAAUUCCAUUGUUCUUUUUGGGUACGUUCUGCACUUUCCUUGCAACAUUUCUUUUUUGUUCUCAGGACUAAGGGAAAACAAAGCCAAGGCUUCCAGAAAAACUGCUCAGCACACAACAAGCACUUGGUAUCACAUGAGCACUGUAAGCUCCUCACUUGUAAAAGCGCCAGUGAUAAUUGCCAGUCUUGUUUCACUGCUGUCCUAAUGCAGCAGCUUUCAUUCAGCCCGAGAUGGAGCCCUGAAAGCUGCUUCGCCAGGGCAGACUCACUGGUAGCAAAUCUAUUUAACUCUCACUUUUACAGCACUUUUCCAUGUUUCUCAGCUGUCUUUCCCAGUUUCAGAACCUGAAAUACCCCUGCACCUUGUCAGGUGGGUUUGCCCAUCACUGCUUUCCAGGCUCAGUUAAAAGCAAUCAAAUAAAUGCAAACAAGUUUUUGACCACAAACCUACUGUGCUUUCUUACUUGUCACCUCACUGUCCUCUAUAGGAAACUCAUCUUUGCCCCUUUCAUUGGUUGUUUUAUAAUGGUAUACAUAAUGAACUUACUUGGAAGGAGAAAUACCUCCUGUUAUCUUCUAAACUCAUAACUCAUUUGAUGAACAUCUGUUUACCAGCACUCACCUUUAUCUUACAGAGAUUUGAACUUUAACUUGUGCUUCUGUGUGUUUU